UACGAAGGGGGCUAGCGUUGCUCGGAAUGACUGGGCGUAAAGGGCGCGUAGGCGGUUUGUACCGUCAGGUGUGAAAUUCCCGGGCUCAACCUGGGGGCUGCACUUGAUACGUAUGGACUGGAGUGGGGAAGAGGGUCGUGGAAUUCCCAGUGUAGAGGUGAAAUUCGUAGAUAUUGGGAAGAACACCGGUGGCGAAGGCGGCGACCUGGUCCUUGACUGACGCUGAGGCGCGAAAGCGUGGGGAGCAAACAGG
rnacentral:rRNA from 1 species